CUCACGAGGGAGGCGUGUUAUUUUGGGGUGGUUCAGGUCCUGGAGCCUUUUGUGGAGUGUGGGAGGGUUCCUUGCGAUUUGAGGUCCUCGAAGGAGGUGAAGAAGGGGGUUUGGCAGUCGCACGAUCGAUUUGAGCAAAGUGUUCAGCUUUUCAGCGUGAUGGUGGUGGCGGAAUAGUGUUCUUAGUUUUUGGUUUCGAGUCGGACGCAGACUCGAGCGUUGGCGGCUACUGAGGCGUGACCUGUGAGGGUGGUGUCGGGAUAGAGUUGUGGGGCUUUUUCACUUCUGUAGAUAGAUUGGAAGCAUCGUGAAGUAUUUCAUGGCUCUUCUCGGUUGUCGGGGAUACGUCUGAUUGGCAUGAGAGGGAGUAAACCAGGUUUCUGUCUGCGGGGGGAGGUUUUGAAAGCUUUUGGGAGUGUUUUUUUGACAAAUUUGAACAUUGGAAUAGCUUUCACUCGGGAGUAGAAGGUAUUACGUAGCAGGUGGGCUUCGUUGGGAAUUGCGAGGAAGAGAAGUAGAGCGUGUGUGAGGACUCGGGACUUGAGUGAUUGUUUGAGGGGUUUUGAAGGGUGCGGGGAGAAUUGCCGUCAGAGACAGUUGGUUUGGUGAGAGAGGUUACGCGUUCACUGUGAUGUCUUCCCCCUCACAGUAUUUGGAUUUCGUAGGUAAGGGUGUGGGUUCAUGAGAAGGCACAUUUCCCACAAAGAUAGUGGCGGAAUUUUCAGAUUAGCGCCGUCUGUUCAGAAUACAACUGGAACCACCUAGGUUACCAGUUGUCUAUUCUACUUCACUUCUCUCCGACAGGGAGAACAACGGAACAUUCUUGUUAUGUUGGUCCUCCACGAGCUGCCUAUCGAGAUGUUUUGCCGUUACAUUGUGGUUUCCGUCCAAUGCCCUGCGUGUUUCUUGCGCCGUUGAAGUGCGCUUUAUCUGAACGCUUUUGCGAGGAGUAGUUUAUGGUUGGAGAAUUUCAGUGUCUCCGCAAAUGGCGUACGGAGACGUUUCGCAGCAUUGGUCCCUACGCCGUUAGUUGCUUUUCGCGAAAUCUUGGAAGCCAGCCUGGCAGGCGUCGUUGAUGUCCCCCAUCAGUUCGUAUUGGUCUGCGGUUUUAUUUUAAUCUAUGCUAAUGGUGAUUCGAGGGUUCCUUCGUGCCUUAUUUGUCAGGCUCUAGUUUAUUAAUUCUGGAGGAUCUUGCCGUUGCAUUCAAGAUAGUGGGUUAGCUGCGACCCAACUUACGCGUGGGACUCUGCAACAUUUCAGCAAUGGAUUCAAGAAUAGACAUGGAAAAGGAAGGCACGGCCAUGCAGGCGCUGUUGGGGGGUGAAAGCAAUGGGGACACGCCAUGGCGGUUGAAUGCAAAUUCAUUUCGAUUGCCAGAACACCUUCAUCCCGAGUCACCGAAGACUGCUGCUGCCGAUUGUAUGAAAAAAUUCAGCGGUGAAAAGGGCAUUGAUGAAUACUACAGACAGCAAGAGGAGAUGUUAGAAAGCUUUGUGGAAAUGGAUUCCAUCGCAGAACGAGGUUACAGGCUCAGCAGCACUGAAGAGGAGCGAGACAACAUAAAGCGUGGAGAGAAUUUUGCCAUCCAAAUUUCAAAUGUUAUGAAUUUGGUCAUCUUUGCAGCAAAAGUCUAUGCCUGCGUGAGGAGUGGCUCGUUAGCAAUAAUUGCUUCCACUUUGGACUCAUUGCUAGACCUACUUUCUGGUUUCAUUCUCUGGUUCACUGCAAUUUCUAUGCGCAAGCAGAACCCCUAUCUCUAUCCAAUUGGCAAGAAGCGGAUGCAGCCUCUGGGUAUUCUGGUUUUUGCUUCAGUAAUGGCAACACUUGGUCUUCAAAUCAUUCUAGAAUCCGUACGGACUCUAAUCACUCAGGAACACUCGCUUGCCCUAAAUGAGUCCAGGAACUGGGUGGUUGGGAUCAUGUUGGGAACGACAGUCAUAAAGUUUAUGCUGAUGGUAUAUUGUCGAACGUUUAGUGAUGAGAUUGUGAGGGCCUAUGCGCAAGAUCACUUUUUUGACGUUAUGACCAACAUGAUCGGUCUUAUUGCGGCAGUAUUAGCCAGCAUAUUUUCCUGGUGGCUUGAUCCUGCAGGCGCCAUUGUGCUGGCUCUUUACACAAUGCGGACGUGGUCACUGACGGUGCUAGAGAAUGUGAAUGCUUUGGUCAGUCGAACGGCCUCUCCGGAUUUUCUACGAAAGUUGACGUACCUUUGCUGGAAUCAUCACAAGGAAAUACGUCAAAUCGAUACCGUCCGUGCUUACACCUUUGGCUCGCAUUACUUCGCGGAGGUUGAUAUUGUACUUGCGGCAGAUAUGCCUCUGCGACAAGCGCACGACAUCGGCGAAUCGCUUCAGGACAAGCUAGAAUCACUUCCAGAAAUAGAGCGAGCCUUUGUUCAUCUCGAUUACGAAGUCACUCAUCGGCCCGAGCAUGCUUACAAAGACUAAUAACGUUUCAUUGGCUCCGACAUUCUAUGUUUUGAGUCUCGAUUUGGAAGCCAGGAAAAACUGAGCCACACAGAAUGGUCGUUGUCAGUCGAGUCUUGUCCAACUUCACUUUGCGUUUCCAAUUCUUGCUGCAUUGUAGAAGGGAAGCUUCAGCUGUCUGAUUUUAUUUGCCUUAUGGAAGCGGUAAUAUCAUGCCCAUGGUUUGCACAACAGAGAAUUGCUGCUCUUCUGUUCAGUCCAGGGGGUGAUGACUUAGGUUUGUAUGGAAUGCGGGAAUUGAUAACUUUUCACCUUCAACAACUGCAGCUACUGUGAAAAGAGAGUUGUGGGCACCAGACGAAGAUGGUGAGAAGAAUGUGGACGAAUAAAAUCUCCAGUGGUCGAACGAGUAUGUGGUGCUCUUUUUGAAGAAAGGAUUGGUUUUAUUGAAGGAUUGGGCGACUUCUCCCAAUGCAUGAUCCUGUAUUGACCAGUUGUGCGUGACAAUCGAAUCAUGACUGCGAUAGUACAGCAUGACUUAUCUACUCUGACUGGUGAAGCAGCCGCGUCAUGAAGAGAUCAUACGUCAUGAUAUCAUCUCCUGAACUCCCAAGUCGUGUCAUGAGUUGGGUCUAGGGGAACGUCUACGGCAUCGCCACUAGUGACUCGAACAUUAGGGGCGAUGAACCCGUUGAGCCAACGCAGCAUGCGGCACGCUUCGUACAUGUCACUGACUAUAUAGAAAUUACAAGUAGCUAGUCACCUUGUGAAAUGUAGUUCACAGUGCUAAAUCUUCGCAACAAUGUACAUGGAUGCUCUUCUUACUCGACAUUUAAUGUAUUCCGACACCAAAAUAUUCGUAAGAGACUAAUAACUCUAGUUAAGAAAGUUCGUUUUAGAUGCAUCAUUUGUAAGCAAAAAGUCUUAUUGCCCAGUAACAAAGUAGAAUAUGGUGAAAAGCUCCCACUGUCUCUAUUUUCUUU